GUGUCAGCAGCCGCGGUAAGACGGAGGGUGUAAGCGUUGUUCGGAAUCACUGGGCGUAAAGAGCGUGUAGGCGGUUAAUUAAGUCGGAUGUGAAAGCCCUUGGCUUAACCAAGGAAGUGCAUCCGAAACUGGUUGACUUGAGUACGGGAGAGGAGAGUGGAAUUCCUGGAGUAGAGGUGAAAUUCGUAGAUCUCAGGAGGAACACCGGUGGCGAAGGCGACUCUCUGGACCGAUACUGACGCUGAGACGCGAAAGCGUGGGGAGCAAACAGGAUUAGAAACCCGAGUAGUCC
rnacentral:rRNA from 1 species